rnacentral:rRNA from 1 species
UGGAGAGUUUGAUCCUGGCUCAGAUUGAACGCUGGCGGCAGGCCUAACACAUGCAAGUCGAACGGUAACAGRGAGCAGCUUGCUGCUCUGCUGACGAGUGGCGGACGGGUGAGUAAUGUCUGGGAAACUGCCUGAUGGAGGGGGAUAACUACUGGAAACGGUAGCUAAUACCGCAUAACGUCUACGGACCAAAGUGGGGGACCUUCGGGCCUCAUGCCAUCAGAUGUGCCCAGAUGGGAUUAGCUAGUAGGUGGGGUAACGGCUCACCUAGGCGACGAUCCCUAGCUGGUCUGAGAGGAUGACCAGCCACACUGGAACUGAGACACGGUCCAGACUCCUACGGGAGGCAGCAGUGGGGAAUAUUGCACAAUGGGCGCAAGCCUGAUGCAGCCAUGCCGCGUGUAUGAAGAAGGCCUUCGGGUUGUAAAGUACUUUCAGCGGGGAGGAAGGUGUUGUGGUUAAUAACCRCAGCRAUUGACGUUACCCGCAGAAGAAGCACCGGCUAACUCCGUGCCAGCAGCCGCGGUA